UACAGGAGCCCAGAUUAUGAUUUUUCAAUAAUAUAGAGCCCUUUGUGGAUAUAAACGCUUCAUGCAAAUUGGAAUGAAGUAUUAAAACCACAGUCUUUGGCUCUACUUGCUGCUACACAAAGAGGUUGAACCUCAGCCAUCAGGUGGACUUGAGUCCUCUGGCGAUUCAGUAUUUCUCUGUAUCUCAAGUCGUAGAGCCCUCAUUUAAAGAGUAAAGAAGCCAAGAUCUAGGCCCAGUCUUUGGUGUGUUUGUGGUCAAAUCAAGACUCGAUUCCAAAUCUCUAUCCAGUAGUUUUUUCUCCAUUCGAUGUUUACUCCCUCUUUUUAGCUACUUUCCUAGAAGUAAGGCAGUGGUCUCCAAGCAGACAUUUCUAAAAACUUGAUUCCAGCAUCCCCCAGUUAGAGAGGAUCCUGAAACCGCAGCUCUCCAAGCACACAAUCAAGGAUUG
rnacentral:lncRNA from 1 species